rnacentral:rRNA from 1 species
ACCAUAGCAGUCGUACAAGGUAUCCGUAGGGGUGGAUUAGUGGCGAACGGGUGAGUAACACGUGAGCAACCUGCCCUUGACUCUGGGAUAAGCCUGGGAAACUGGGUCUAAUACCGGAUAGUACCCCUUGCCGCAUGGUGGGGGGUGGAAAGCCUUGUGCGGUCUUGGAUGGGCUCGCGGCCUAUCAGCUUGUUGGUGGGGUGAUGGCCUACCAAGGCGACGACGGGUAGCCGGCCUGAGAGGGUGACCGGCCACACUGGGACUGAGACACGGCCCAGACUCCUACGGGAGGCAGCAGUGGGGAAUAUUGCACAAUGGGCGAAAGCCUGAUGCAGCGACGCCGCGUGGGGGAUGACGGCCUUCGGGUUGUAAACCCCUUUCGGCAGGGAACAAGCCGCUUCGGUGGUGAGGGUACCUGCGGAAGAAGCGCCGGCUAACUACGUGCCAGCAGCCGCGGUAAUACGUAGGGCGCGAGCGUUAUCCGGAAUUAUUGGGCGUAAAGAGCUCGUAGGCGGUUUGUCGCGUCUGCUGUGAAAGCCCGGGGCUCAACCCCGGGUCUGCAGUGGGUACGGGCAGGCUGGAGUGCAGUAGGGGAGACUGGAAUUCCUGGUGUAGCGGUGAAAUGCGCAGAUAUCAGGAGGAACACCGAUGGCGAAGGCAGGUCUCUGGGGCUGUAAACUGACGCUGAGGAGCGAAAGCAUGGGGAAGCGAACA